UUUUAUCCCCUCGGGUGGAUUCGGUAAAAAACAUGUUAUAAAAAUAAAUAACAUUAUCGGCAUUAAUUGUUUAUUUAUUUUCCGAUCAGUGCGGGCUUUUUCUCCAGAAACCGUGCGUAUCAAUUACAUGAUAAUUAUCUUUAUGUAAUAUUGUAAUACACGGAUUAUAUUUGAACUGUAUAUUUAGAUUCUGAGCGCAGCGAGUAAAAUUUAUAUUAUUGGAUAGUGAAUAACGAAUAAACACUUGUUAUAGUAUGAUGUAUUUUUUUUUCUGUCUGUUAACAAAUAUCCCAUCAAAGUUCUUGGUCUGAUCGUUAAUUUUAGGGAUGUAAAAUUUUGUCUCGUUAAUACAUUGGCGAGGUUAUUUUUUAAUUUGUCCACGUAGUUUUAUUAAUAAUCGAGGGAAAACGGGACGAUUUACACAAUAAUGGUUUCUGUUAUUUUCGAUGCGUAGUUCCAUCAAAAACGUUCACUGAACUCUUAUAUCAGCCUUUUCUAUAGGCAUGAUAAAAUUCCUCAAAAAUUUCGGAAAUUUUCGAAGCUAUGUACAAUUAUUUGAAAUUAUCGAGUUUUUUAAAAGUUUUGUGGGUAAAAUAAUUGUUUAGGAAAAAUGCUCGAAAAUUUAACACGAGGUUUUUCAUAAGAUUUGCUCGAUGGUUGAAAAAGCAAAUUUGAGCGUUAUACCACGAAUGUCGUUCUUUUUAUAACCGUUUAAAGUUCAAAUUUUUAUGAAAAUCCGUGAAAUUCUCAGUAUUUUAAAACAUGCCAAAAUAAACGAAUUUCUCUCAGAAUCGUUUUUCAGUAGCAAUGACAAUUUAUCGUUGCGUACAGAUAUAAAUUAAAUAACUUUCCCAACUUUUUCAUUUCUCAUUUACAGGCUACAGCAGUGGCAUACCCGUCAACAGUGUAUCAGCUCUUUUCUUUUUUAUAUAUAUUUAUACUCGUGUUUAUGUCUCUGAGAGAUUUUCUCGAGUUUCAAAAAGACUAUAAUAUCGUUUUAUCGGGAUAACGACGAUGUUAACGUCGUUUUUUUUCUGCAACGUUUGUUAAACUGCACUACUGCAUGUGUAUAGCAGGUACCUACAAUAUUACACCCCGCACCAGUGAAAUUGAUUUUUUCCUUUUGAUAUUUUGGAUAUUAUAUGCGUAUAUACGACCGCUGCAUUGUGAGAGGGGAGCGACGAAAAAGAAUACGCCAGUCGAAAUUCGAUUUUUUUUUUUUCUAAUUACACGCCGACAUCAAAUGACUCUCAUCUACAUUUAUAAAAUAUAUAUAUUUUUUACGCGUAUAUCGUAUAAUACAAAAGCUGCAAGCCCCCCUCUGAGUUGUUUCGUAAUUAGACACCGUUAUUUCUUGCACACGAUUGCAGUAUUGAACACUAAAAAUACGGAAUACUGCAAUUAAAAAAAAAAUAUAUUUAUUCCGACAGUCUUCCAUAAUAUGAGUUGCGGCUCUAUAAUGGCGUACUUUUAAUGUUAUAAUUAAUUCGGUUUUAUUUUCGCGUACUUACAAUACCAUAAACAAAAAAAAAAGACGACGACUUUCGAGUUUGGUUUAUACCGCGGUACCCUAUAAAAUCACUCGAGAUAAUCAAAGUUUUUCGUCGCUCAGGACCGUCGAAAAACUCCCGUAGAAUCAAAUUCCCGUCCAUCCAUAUUCAUAAAAUAUUCUUUGUAAAAUUAUGAAUAACCGAAUAAUUAAAUAAUACAAUACUAUACAUACCAAUAAUUUAUCGGAAAAAAAACAAUUGUUAGCAUAAAAAAUGACAGAGACUACGGAGGUUUAAAGUUAAAACCCCUCAAAAAAUCCAUUCUUGUAUCAUUUUUAUACACAUCAGAGGAUAUUUUAAGAACUUUUCACUAGAUAAACUACACUAGGUUCACUAAAUAAAAUUGAGCGUUUGAUCACGUUUUCCUCGCCUUCGACUUCAAAUUAAAUUUAAUCGUUCAAUAUAUUAUCAGAAUUGUCAUUCUAGGUUAGUAAAAUCAAUAACAAAUUUAAAUUUUACAAAUAUCUGUUAAAAUAACUAAAUUUUUUCAAACACAUCGGUAAUACAUUUUUAUAUUCCUAACAGAAUCUCCGAAGAGGUACAGACAAUUUUUUAAUACAAAAUCUCAAUCUAACAGAAAUUGGUCGGAAAACUAACUCUCGCCCAACCAUUUUGAUUACGUGAUAAUUAAAAAUAUAAUAAUUUAUCGAGUAUAUAUACAAGUAGAUACUUGCAGUCACUAUGCAUAAUUGAUUUCAAAGUUUUUAUACCGCUAAGAAUCACCGUAAUUAUAUAUAGGUACUUGCUUUUGAAAUUUUGAAGUCUUGUUUUGUCGAGCGAUAGGAAAUCAGAAAUAACAAUGGCAUUCGAAUAAUUAAAUGCGAAAUGAAAAAAAAAAGAAAAAAGUGAACACUGACAUGGAAAAAAUAAAUUAAAAAGACGGGCAUUCUAUUCGCACGUGGGUGCAGCCACUGUUGUAGGUGGGAAGUUGGGAAAGUAGGAUAUAGAAGGGAAUUUAAUGCAUAUCUAUAAGCAACGAUAAACCAUUUCUAACAAGAAAACCGAGUGGAGUUCAGUUGAAAGUUAUGUUUCGUCAACAAUAUAUAUGUCAUAUUAAAGUAUAAUGCAUAAUAUUGAACACAACUAAUUACCCAGGAAACACCUAUAUUUUUGUGUAAU
rnacentral:lncRNA from 1 species